rnacentral:rRNA from 1 species
AUUGAACGCUGGCGGCAGGCCUAACACAUGCAAGUCGAACGAGUGGCGGACGGGUGAGUAAUGUCUGGGAAACUGCCCGAUGGAGGGGGGUAACUACUGGAAACGGUAGCUAAUACCGCAUACCAUCGGAUGUGCCCAAAUGGGAUUAGCUAGUAGGUGGGUUAACGGCUCACCUAGGCGACGAUCCCUAGCUGGUCUGCGAGGAUGACCAGCCACACUGGAACUGAGACACGGUCCAGACUCCUACGUGAGGCAGCAGUGGGGAAUAUUGCACAAUGGGCGCAAGCCUGAUGCAGCCAUGCCGCGUGUAUGAAGAAGGCCGUCGGGUUGUAAAGUACGUUCAGCGAGGAGGCGUUACUCGCAGAAGAAGCACCGGCUAACUCCGUGCCAGCAGCCGCGGUAAUAC